UACGUAGGGUGCGAGCGUUGUCCGGAAUUACUGGGCGUAAAGAGCUCGUAGGUGGUUUGUCGCGUUGUUCGUGAAAACCGGGGGCUUAACCCUCGGCGUGCGGGCGAUACGGGCAGACGUUGAGUACUGCAGGGGAGACUGGAAUUCCUGGUGUAGCGGUGGAAUGCGCAGAUAUCAGGAGGACACCGGUGGCGAAGGCGGGUCUCUGGGCAGUAACUGACGCUGAGGAGCGAAAGCGUGGGGAGCGAACAGG
rnacentral:rRNA from 1 species